UUCGCAAUGCCCGAAAGGGUGACGAAGCGACGCCGCGUGUGGGAAGAAGGCCUUCGGGUUGUAAACCACUGUCGGGAGUUAAGAAAUGCAAGGAUAUUAAUAGUGUCUUUGUUUGACUAAGGCUCCGGAGGAAGCCACGGCUAACUCUGUGCCAGCAGCCGCGGUAAUACAGAGGCGGCAAGCGUUGUUCGGAAUUAUUGGGCGUAAAGAGCACGUAGGCGGCUAUGUAAGUCGGUUGUGAAAGCCUUCCGCUCAACGGAAGAACAGCAUCCGAUACUACAUGGCUUGAGUGCGGGAGGGGAGAGUGGAACUUCUGGUGGAGCGGUGAAAUGCGUAGAUAUCAGAAGGAACGCCGGCGGCGAAAGCGGCUCUCUGGCCCAUAACUGACGCUGAGUGUGCGAAAGCUAGGGGAGCAAACGGGAUUAGAUACCCCGGUAGUCCUAGCCGUAAAC
rnacentral:rRNA from 1 species